AUUGAACGCUGGCGGCAGGCCUAACACAUGCAAGUCGAGCGAGCGGCGGACGGGUGAGUAAUGUAUGGGGACUGCCCGUUAGUGGUGGAUAACUACUGGAAACGGUAGCUAAUACCGCAUACUAUCGGAUAACCCAUAUGGGAUUAGCUAGUAGGUGAGGUAAUGGCUCACCGAGGCGACGAUCCCUCGCUGGUCUGAGAGGAUGUUCAGCCACACUGGUACUGUGACACGGCCCAGACUCCUACGGAGGCAGCAGUGGGGAAUAUUGCACAAUGGGCGCAAGCCUGAUGCAGCCAUGCCGCGUGUAUGAAGAAGGCCUUCGGGUUGUAAAGUACUUUCAGUCGGGAGGCGUUACCGACAGAAGAAACACCGGCUAACUCCGUGCCAGCAGCCGCGGUAAUAC
rnacentral:rRNA from 1 species